GCUAUAAACCUAGCCCAUUUAACCCCUCUAAUGAAUUCUUAAAACUAACUCUUUCAAUUAAAACAUUCUUAUAUUAUAGUAAGGGUGAUUAAAAAAUUAUUAGGAGCUAUACAAACAGUACCGUAAGGGAAAGAUGAAAUAGAACUGAAAUAACCUUUAAGCACAGCAAAGUAGAGAUUAAUCCUUGUACCUUUCGCAUCAUGGUUUAACUAGUCUAAUCAAGCAAAAUGACUUAUAGUUUGACUCCCCGAAACUAGGCGAGCUACUUCAGGGCAGCUUAUGAGCUAACCCAUCCCUGUCGCAAAAGAGUGGGAAGACCUUUAAGUAGAGGUGACAGACCAAACGAGCCUAGUAAUAGCUGGUUACCCAAGAAAAGAAUUUUAGUUCAACCUAAAGAAUACUAAUUAAUUUUAAAUAAAAUAAUUUCUUUAGAGUAACUCAAAUAAGGUACAGCCUAUUUGAAACAGGGAACAACCUUACUAGAAGGGUAAUUUUUUUCUUAGUAUUUAAGUAGGCCUAAGAGCAGCCAUCUUUAAAAUAGCGUCAAAGCUUUACUACUCAUUUUCUUAAUACCAUAAAUAAAUUAGAACCCUCUUUUUCUCUAUUGGGCACUUCUAUACUUAUAUAGAAAUUUUUAUGUUAAAACUAGUAACAAGAAGAAGACCUUCUCUUAAAUGCAAGUAUAAAUCAUAAAGGACACACCAAUGAUAAUUAACACUCUUAUAUAUAACUAGCAACUUCACAAGAAAAACCUAUUUAUUACUAUGUUAACCUAACACAAGAGCAUUUCAAGAAAGAUUAAAAGAAAAAGAAGGAACUCGGCAAAUAUUAACCUCGCCUGUUUACCAAAAACAUCGCCUCUUGAUUAAAUAUAAGAGGUCAAGCCUGCCCAGUGACUUUGUUUAACGGCCGCGGUAUCCUAACCGUGCGAAGGUAGCGUAAUCACUUGUUCUUUAAAUGAGGACUAGUAUGAAUGGCAUCACGAGGGUUAUACUGUCUCCUUUUUCUAAUCAGUGAAACUAAUCCCCCCGUGAAGAAGCGGGGAUAAAAAUAUAAGACGAGAAGACCCUAUGGAGCUUUAAACUACGUAACAAUUGCUUCAACUUUUACUUACAUUCAACAAUGUUUAAUACUUAUGAUAGCUCAAUGAUUACUAAUUUUAGGUUGGGGUGACCGCGGAGUACAAAAUAACCUCCACUUUGUUAUGAGGCACAACCUCUUAGCCAUGAAAUACACUUCUAAGCAUCAACUAAUUGACAUAAAUUGACCCAAUACUUUGACCAACGAACCAAGUUACCCUAGGGAUAACAGCGCAAUUCGCCUCAAAAGCUCCUAUCGACAGGCGAGUUUACGACCUCGAUGUUGGAUCAGGAUAUCCAAGUGGUGUAGCCGCUACUAAAGGUUCGUUUGUUCAACGAUUAAUAUCCU
rnacentral:rRNA from 1 species